UUAGCCGCGAUUCACCUACAAUUGUGAAUAUAGGAUUGAGUGCCGGUUGAUGUGGUAGUGAAUAAUCUACGAAGAUAACAUUAGCGAGCAACGCUAUAGCCAUAAAAGUUGUGUUUAAUGUAAUAACUAUAUCAGUGUAAGCUUGUAACUAAAAGUAAAGACUAAGAUAAAAAGAUAUUUUAAAGUUCUAUAUUACUUUAGUGACUUAGUCAAACUAUAAACAAAGAUAAGCCAGGUCCUGUAACGGUGAGACUAAAAGUCGCCGUAUGUGAAGCAAAUUUCUGGCUAGGCUAAGCUCAUUUUUCCUCAUCGUUGGUUAGGCCUAAACAGUGGUUCGUCUUAACCUAAAGCAAUCACAAUGUGUCCUGUUGUAUUAUUAGCGAUGAUUAUGGGCUUUCUUAUGUUCUUAUUAGAAUUAACAGCUGCCAUCACAGUAAAGUUUAUGCCAAAUCGUGUAGAUAAACUAAAAGUAGGUGAUGAGAAAAAUGUGAGUUUCUCACUCGUCGAUUUCAAGAUAGAAGAUCGCAGUCAAUACCAAGUACUGGUGGCAGAUCCGUUUGUGGCUGAUGUGAAAAAUAACGUAUUUAACCAGACCGAAAUUCGUGGCAGUGGAACAAAUAGUGAAACCUAUAAUGGUAGUUUCAUUUUAACAGGCAAAUUUUUAGGACAUACAUAUGUUCGUGUCAAGGCAGUAUCAAAAUCGGAGUUUAAGGACGAUGAAUCUGAGCCAUUGAAAAUCAGUGUUAUUAGGAAGGAAAGUACGUUAUCGAAAGUCUUCAUUGUGUCCGUAGCAACGUUAGUUUCAUUAAAUUAUAUUAAUAUGGGUUGUGCGCUAGAUAUGAAUAUUAUUUUAGCCGUUUUAAAAAAGCCUAUUGCACCAGCUAUAGGGUUCGGCUGUCAGUAUGUUUUCAUGCCUUUGAUAGCCUAUGGAAUUGGGAAACUUCUUUUUGAUUCACCUAUUCUUCAACUUGGUCUGUUCAUAUUUGGCUGCAGUCCAGGAGGAGGGGCUAGCAACAUGUGGACAGUCCUACUUAAUGGAAACCUGGACCUCAGCAUCACCAUGACUUUUAUUAGUACUCUUACUUCCUUAGGUAUGAUGCCCCUAUGGAUAUUUACUCUAGGCAAGACGCUCUUUAAUGGAACUACUCGAAUUCCAUUUAAAAACAUUUUCAUUUCUCUUGUGAGCAUGGUGAUACCUCUAGGGAUUGGACUAUUAAUCCAAAAGUUCUUUCCGAAGGCAGCCAAGUUGGGGCGCCGUAUCCUAGCUCCAGCAUGCAUUUUAAUGAUUAUUUACAUAGUGGCUUUUGGAACUUACGCCAACCUGUACAUGUUUAAACUUUUCUCUUGGCGAGUGGUAAUAGCUGCCCUCAUCAACGUGUGGUUCGGAUUCCUUGUUGGAGCUCUUGCUGCUCGCCUGAUUGGUCGACCUGUUGAAGACGUCAUUGCGAUCGCCGUUGAAACCGGGGUUCAGAAUACAGGAAUCUCUAUCGUUCUACUGGGUUUCUCCUUGCCGCAACCAGAUGCAGAUUUGGCUUCCGUUGCACCUGUCGCAGCGUCUAUUAUGAUGCCAAUUCCUCUGGUGAUAAUUUAUAUCAUUCAGAAGAUACGAGCUUGCUGUCGUAACGAGCACAAAGAUGCGGUUCAAGAAGAUGUAACGAAAGAGGAAAAACACACUAAAGUUUUGGAAUCACCUACCAGCACUGAUACUACGAUAGCUGUCAAUGAGCACAUGUAAUAAAUGAAACUGUUGACGAGUACAUUUUUAGUAGGUAGAUUACGUUUUACGUCCAAUAUUAAGAAUCGCAGAAAUCCAAACUGCCAUCAGGAGUCGUGAAAUACAUGUUUCUCUCUGGACCUUUUAUGUAGGGUAAUGCUUUGCUAAUUCAAAAAUACGAAACUAAUAAAUAGUAAUAGAGUAAAAAGUGAUGGCUUAGCAUCCACGUGACGACACGCCAGCUGGUUUUAAAAAAAAACACCAGGUUGAAUUCGUUAUUGCUGCGCAUCGGAUCAGACAUGGUGCAGUGCUUUGCUGUGAAAUACCGCCGUCAAAGUGAAAGAGGGAGUUGUAAAUUCCCAUAGGAUCAUCAAUGAAGAGGUGGAAAGAAUUAUACAGGUAAAGUACACAGAAUAAAUGUGUGUGUUUUUUAAGCCGAGCACUAUCUAGUUCACAAUACUCUUAGCAGAGCUCUCAGGUAAUUGAUUUUGGAAAGAUUGGGAUUUUGUGUUGAUGUGUGGGGUGGGGGUGAGGAGACCCUCCACCGAGGCAUUCUGAGUAAUUUUAAGACUUUAUAUGCAGCAUUUUCAGAGUAUUUUAUUUAGGAAUUAUUUAAAACUGUAAAAUUUCAUAACAACUCUACUACAAAAUAUCAAUACUGCUUCCACGACAAAGUAUUUGCGUGAUUUUAUUCAACAUUGAAAAUUUCAUUACAUGUACCAGAAUGUUGCUUAUUAUAAUACUAUAUAGCUUGUUUUAGUAAGUCCUUCAAGGGUUCAUAUACACAACAGGAAUCUUUAUUGGCCAUUAUUAUGGUUAUCAGUUAGCCAAGUUUUCCAUCAACUUGAAGAGAUGGUCGAAAUGGGGUUUAAUUUUUUCAAAUCCGUGAAAAUACACAUUCUUUCCCUGUAUAUGAUUGUGUUAAAAUCACUAAAAUUUUAGCAACUUUACCCAGUCUGCCAACUAUAUCUGAGCUAGUAUUUGCUAGUUUAAUGGAACACAAAUGUCCCCAUAUAACAUUUGUUUGAACAGUUGAGACAGUUUCUUCAGCACCAUUGUCAUUAGGUAAGUAUUACUUGGCAGCAUUCCAAACUCUCUCUCUGGGAUAUCGGCAUCCUGGUAUUCUAUGAAUUCUUCGUAAAGCACCUCCAGUUCACUGGAACUAAGAGUAAAAAAGGCGGGAUAUCUUUCAAGGGAAGAACUCUAUAUCCUGAAAAACUGCGUUGCCUCUUUGGAAGAAAUCAAUAAACUUGGCAUGUUUAAGUGUGUCAUCAUUCUGUGGAAGUUUGUUGAAUGUCUAACCCAUUUGUAGAACAAUUUACUGUGCCUUUCUUCUACAUCACCCCCGUCAAAAAGCUUGUUUAACAGUAGCUCUGUCAACAAAAGCUGGUCAUCACAUAACUUUUGACUUUCCCCUUCAAAUUUUACAUCAGAAAUAAUUUGUGCCACAUUUAUGUUUUCGAUGGGAACGAAUUUCCCUUGGAGACGCUUAACAUAAUCUGUAAUGUGGUUAUCAACUUCAUGAAUGCAUGGGUCUUCUCUUUGAAGAAAACGAUUCAGUGUGGUGAUUGAAGGUAACACAGACUGGAAAAACGUGGUAGACUUUCACUUCCUGAGUUCGACAUAUAAUAACAGUGCUGGAAAUAUAUCAAGAUGCCACCUUACAGCAGUUUCCAGACUCAACCAACGAGUACUUGUAUAUUUCAUCACCUUCUUUAUAGUGGGCCGUUAUAGUUCCAUUUAUCAUGUAUGUUGUCUUUGUAGCAGCAGAGGCAUACUGUUUAGCGAUUUGUGAGUCCGGGAAAAUGCUUGAAAACAGUGAACUCAAGUGGUUAGUGAAAGCAAGAGGAAUGUUGUGGUUAGCCAAUGCUGUUGCGACUUUAACCUCAGCUGGAAUAACCUGCAAUGUUAACAAAAUCAUGAGAUACUUUAAAGAAUACCGUCAGAUUUUGAGACUUUCCACUAAAGUUCACAAAUUAACACCUGCUAUUAUCUUUAGCAUCAUUUUAAAAAAAUUAGUUACAAAUUUCAUAAAACUGAUUACUUGUACUAUUUAUUUUGAUUUAAAAUAAUUUAAUAGUUUCCCUAUUGAUUUUAUCUUUUCAAAGUUUUUUGAACGUAAUAUUUGCUAAGCUCAACACCCGUGGUCCUCUUGAUAGAAAUAAUUUAAAUUGAACUUUAAACCACUAAAUUUCUUUAAUUGCAGAAGGGCCGAUAGGACAGCCUACACCAACUCGAAACUGUGCAGCUGUCACUUCAAAGAACAUAAAAAAGAAAAUGGUCCAACCAUCUUCGAGUGGAACGUAAACAAAUCUUUUGACUAAUACCCAGAACCCAAAGUAUCACGGGAAAGGUACAUUAUCUUUGAACUUAUAUAACUUUCUGUCAAAUGUAAAUAGAUACGAGAAUUUUUAUUUACUAGUAUAACUUAUAUAUUCGUCUAUUUUUGAUUUCAGAAGGACAUUCUCAGAGAUUCCACAUUUUAGUGCUGAAGAAACCAGCGUCAAAUCUCUGUGUGAAAUAGAUAGAUCAAUUUCUGAUUUGAUUAUCAGAAUCUGCAGAACUAUUUUAAAUCACAAAAUCAGGGAAAAUAAAGGGAAAAUACUGGAACAGGAGAGGGAGCUUACGUAUAUGAAGAGCCAUUUCUCAUAUAAUUCCAUUAAGAAAGAUUAUUCACUUGUAAACCAUUAUAAAGGUUUACCCAAUACAAAGGACUUUGAUGACUUGUUAUUUAAGUUUAUGCUGUCGCUUUAAUUUCGAUUAUUAUUAUGGAUGGAUAGUCGACUGUAUUUCUGGUGAGGAGCAAUUAUUCAUUACUUUGAUGAAACUGAGAUGCAAUUUCAAUCACAUUGAUUUGUCAAUUAUGUUCUCGACUAUAAGUCACCACUAUAAGUAACAUCAUCCUGAUAUGGUUGCACGUCUUGCAUGAGGUACCAUAUGUCGGUAUGAUACAAGGACGCCCUAUACAAUCAGUUGAGAAGAACAAAUGCUAUCUUCUGAGCUACUUUUCCACAUUUAGCAGUUCCAGGAUUAUCUUGGACUGCACAGAGAUCCAGUAUGAUAUACCAUCCAACAUGGAGAGCAUUGUGUUAAACUUUCACAUUACAAACAGCAUAAUACACUAAAGGCUAUGGUUGGAGUAGCACCCAACUAUUAUCACAUAUACCAGUGAAAUGUAUCCAGGCUCAAUAAGUGACAAAGAGAUUGUCCACCAUAGUGGUGUCCUGAAACAUAUGAAGCCUGGAAGACCUUGUGAUCGCACAUAAAGGCUUCCUCAUACAAUAUCUCAUGCCUCUACAAGUAUCUCUAAAUCUGCCGCCAUUCUUAAACAGUGGUCAGUUUAUCGGGACCCAGGCUGAGAUCACUGUGCUAGGCUUCGUGUGGAGAGGGCUAUCCAACGGAUGAAAACUUUCUCAAUUCUAGACCAUCUUCCUCAUCAAUAUCAACCAUUAGCUAGCAAAAUAGUCCAAGUUAUUGCAUGCUUAGUAAAUCUUCAAAAUUCACUAAUCAAAGAAACUGCAUAAAGUUUGUUCAACAAUUUUAUUCAAAUGCUUGUUUCAUGGUCACUGACUUGAUAAAUGAGAUACAUGUAACUAGAAUUUGUAUGGCUUCCCAAAUUCUUAACAUCUGUACCAGGUGCCAGUCUAUUGGGAUCUUUAAAAUGUAUAUGAAUGAUCAACUUUCGUAACGUUCAUUACAGUAAGUAUACUAAUUAGAUACCAUGCUGGUACAUACAAGUUCAAACCCGAUUUUGUUCGUAUUCUCAACCGAGUAUUGAAUAGCUUUGGAUACACAAGUUUUUAACUUUAAUCGUUGUCAACAAAUAAAAAAAUGUCAAGUCGUGAUCAGUAAAAGAUUUUAUUGGUUUAUCAAUCGAGUGUUCAUUGGCAUGAAAACAUGUACUUUGUGAAUAGUUUCAUACAUUUUAGUGACAAUAUAGUACAUGUAUACAUUGACAUUUUACACUGCCAUACUUAGGUAACACAAACGAAGUAUUAUAGGUAUAAACACUGUUAUCUUAUUUUCUACGUGUAUGUUUUAACAAUAAACGCUAAUCAAUCCCACCGUUCAUAAACACAGGCAAGAACUUUGUGAACAAAAAAUCAAGCAGUCCUGUGAUAUUUUCCAUCCAAGCGGGGUCUCGGUGAACUAAAAACACGUACAUGUGGCUAGGAGAUCAAACGAUAAAAUCACACAUAUCCUGUUAGUAAGGUACAAGUUUCCUUGGACCUAGUGGUAAUAUUUAUACCCGGUAAGAUCACUGAUGUUAA
rnacentral:misc_RNA from 1 species